rnacentral:rRNA from 1 species
GAUGAACGCUAGCUACAGGCUUAACACAUGCAAGUCGAGGGGAAACGAUAGAGAAAGCUUGCUUUUUCUAGGCGUCGACCGGCGCACGGGUGAGUAACGCGUAUCCAACCUGCCCAUCACUUGGGGAUAACCUUGCGAAAGUAAGACUAAUACCCAACGACGUCUCUAGAAGACAUCUGAAGGAGAUUAAAGAUUUAUCGGUGAUGGAUGGGGAUGCGUCUGAUUAGCUUGUUGGCGGGGUAACGGCCCACCAAGGCGACGAUCAGUAGGGGUUCUGAGAGGAAGGCCCCCCCACAUUGGAACUGAGACACGGUCCAAACUCCUACGGGAGGCAGCAGUGAGGAAUAUUGGUCAAUGGACGAGGAGUCUGAACCAGCCAAGUAGCGUGCAGGAUGACGGCCCUAUGGGUUGUAAACUGCUUUANAAGGGAUAAAGUGAGUCUCGUGAGACUUUUUGCAUGUACCUUAUGAAUAAGGACGGCUAAUUCCGUGCCAGCAGCCGC